rnacentral:tRNA from 1 species
AUUAAAGUGGCAGAGCCUGGGAAAUGCAAAAGGCCUAAAACCUUUACUUCGAGAGUUCAAAUCUCUCCUUUAAUU